AAACUGGGAUUAGAUACCCCACUAUGUCCGAUCGUAAACUUUUACUUACACACUCUAUCGCCUGGGAACUACGAGCAAAGCUUAAAACCCAAAGGACUUGACGGUACCCCACAUCCCCCUAGAGGAGCCUGUCCUAUAAUCGAUAAUCCACGUUUAACCUCACCAUUUUUAGUUCUUCAGCCUGUAUACCUCCGUCGUCAGCUUACCUCGUGAGCGAACCAUAGUGAGCUUAAUGAUACCCCACCAACACGUCAGGUCAAGGUGCAGCAAAUAAAAUGGAAAGAGAUGGGCUACACUUUCUAAAAUAGAAUACACGAAAGAUUAUUUAUGAAACCUAAUCAGAAGGCGGAUUUAAUAGUAAAAAGAAACCAGAAUGUUCUUUUUAACCCGGCACUGGGGUGUGUACACACCGCCCGUCACCCUCCUCAAAGCUAAAAAACAGUAUCUAACUACUUUAAGCAUUAUAGAAGAGGCAAGUCGUAACAUGGUAAGUAUACCGGAAGGUGUGCUUGGAUCAUGGAAUAUAGCUUAA
rnacentral:rRNA from 1 species